rnacentral:rRNA from 1 species
GUUGAUCCCGCCGGACCCGACUGCUAUUUGGGUGAGGAUAAGCCAUGCGAGUCGAAUGGGAUACCUAAAUUUCCCAUGGCGAACUGCUCAAUAACACAUGAUCAACUUGCCCUAUAGAGAAAAAUAACCUCGGGAAACUGAGGAUAAUGUUUCAUAGUUGAAAAGGCUUGGAAAAGUUUUUCGACCAAAGGGAUAAAAAAAAUGGUUUUUAUCCGCUAUAGGAUAGGAUCGUGCUCGAUUAUGGUCGUUGGUGAGGUAACGGCUCACCAAGCCGAUAAUCGAUAGGGGCCGUGAGAGCGGGAGCCCCGAGAUGGGUACUGAGACAGCGACCCAGGCCUUACGAGGCGCAGCAGGCGCGGAACCUCCGCAAUACACGAAAGUGUGACGGGGUUACCCAAAGUGUUCAUUUAUGAACUGUGGUAGGUGAGUAAUGUCCCCUACUAGAAAGGAGAGGGCAAGGCUGGUGCCAGCCGCCGCGGUAAAACCAGCUCUUCAAGUGGUCGGGAUAAUUAUUGGGCUUAAAGUGUCCGUAGCCGGUUUAGUAAGUUCCUGGUAAAAUCAGGUAGCCUAACUAUCUGCAUGCUAGGAAUACUGCUAUACUAGAGGGCGGGAGAGGUCUGAGGUACUACAGGGGUAGGGGUGAAAUCUUAUAAUCCUUGUAGGACCACCAGUGGCGAAGGCGUCAGACUGGAACGUGCCUGACGGUGAGGGACGAAAGCCAGGGGAGCGAACCGGAUUAGAUACCCGGGUAGUCCUGGCCGUAAACGAUGCAUACUAGGUGAUGGCAUGGCCAUGAGCCAUGUCAGUGCCGUAGGGAAACCGUUAAGUGUGCCGCCUGGGAAGUACGGUCGCAAGGCUAAAACUUAAAGGAAUUGGCGGGGGAGCACCACAAGGGGUGAAGCCUGCGGUUCAAUUGGAGUCAACGCCGGAAAUCACUAGUGCGGCCGCCU